GAUGAACGCUGGCGGCGUGCCUAAUACAUGCAAGUCGAGCGAACGGACGAGAAGCUUGCUUCUCUGAUGUUAGCGGCGGACGGGUGAGUAACACGUGGAUAACCUACCUAUAAGACUGGGAUAACUUCGGGAAACCGGAGCUAAUACCGGAUAAUAUUUUGAACCGCAUGGUUCAAAAGUGAAAGACGGUCUUGCUGUCACUUAUAGAUGGAUCCGCGCUGCAUUAGCUAGUUGGUAAGGUAACGGCUUACCAAGGCAACGAUGCAUAGCCGACCUGAGAGGGUGAUCGGCCACACUGGAACUGAGACACGGUCCAGACUCCUACGGGAGGCAGCAGUAGGGAAUCUUCCGCAAUGGGCGAAAGCCUGACGGAGCAACGCCGCGUGAGUGAUGAAGGUCUUCGGAUCGUAAAACUCUGUUAUUAGGGAAGAACAUAUGUGUAAGUAACUGUGCACAUCUUGACGGUACCUAAUCAGAAAGCCACGGCUAACUACGUGCCAGCAGCCGCGGUAAUACGUAGGUGGCAAGCGUUAUCCGGAAUUAUUGGGCGUAAAGCGCGCGUAGGCGGUUUUUUAAGUCUGAUGUGAAAGCCCACGGCUCAACCGUGGAGGGUCAUUGGAAACUGGAAAACUUGAGUGCAGAAGAGGAAAGUGGAAUUCCACGUGUAGCGGUGAAAUGCGCAGAGAUAUGGAGGAACACCAGUGGCGAAGGCGACUUUCUGGUCUGUAACUGACGCUGAUGUGCGAAAGCGUGGGGAUCAAACAGGAUUAGAUACCCUGGUAGUCCACGCCGUAAACGAUGAGUGCUAAGUGUUAGGGGGUUUCCGCCCCUUAGUGCUGCAGCUAACGCAUUAAGCACUCCGCCUGGGGAGUACGACCGCAAGGUUGAAACUCAAAGGAAUUGACGGGGACCCGCACAAGCGGUGGAGCAUGUGGUUUAAUUCGAAGCAACGCGAAGAACCUUACCAAAUCUUGACAUCCUUUGACAACUCUAGAGAUAGAGCCUUCCCCUUCGGGGGGCAAAGUGACAGGUGGUGCAUGGUUGUCGUCAGCUCGUGUCGUGAGAUGUUGGGUUAAGUCCCGCAACGAGCGCAACCCUUAAGCUUAGUUGCCAUCAUUAAGUUGGGCACUCUAAGUUGACUGCCGGUGACAAACCGGAGGAAGGUGGGGAUGACGUCAAAUCAUCAUGCCCCUUAUGAUUUGGGCUACACACGUGCUACAAUGGACAAUACAAAGGGCAGCGAAACCGCGAGGUCAAGCAAAUCCCAUAAAGUUGUUCUCAGUUCGGAUUGUAGUCUGCAACUCGACUACAUGAAGCUGGAAUCGCUGGUAAUCGUAGAUCAGCAUGCUACGGUGAAUACGUUCCCGGGUCU
rnacentral:rRNA from 1 species